rnacentral:rRNA from 1 species
CGGGUGAGUAACGCGUGAGGAACCUGCCUCAAAGAGGGGGACAACAGUUGGAAACGACUGCUAAUACCGCAUAAGCCCACGGCUCGGCAUCGAGCAGAGGGAAAAGGAGUGAUCCGCUUUGAGAUGGCCUCGCGUCCGAUUAGCUAGUUGGUGAGGUAACGGCCCACCAAGGCGACGAUCGGUAGCCGGACUGAGAGGAUGAACGGCCACAUUGGGACUGAGACACGGCCCAG